rnacentral:rRNA from 1 species
AGCAGCCGCGGUAAUUCCAGCUCCAAUAGCGUAUAUUAAAGUUGUUGCAGUUAAAAAGCUCGUAGUUGAAUUUCGGGAUUAAUUUAUUGGUCGUGCUAUUGUACGUACUGGUAUUAUUGAUUCCUACCUUCUGACGAACCAUGAUGUCAUUAAUUUGGUGUCUUGGGGAAUCAGGACUGUUACUUUGAAAAAAUUAGAGUGUUUAAAGCAGGCUCACGCUUGAAUACAUUAGCAUGGAAUAACGAAAUAGGACGUUUGAUUCUAUUUUGUUGGUUUCUAGGAUCGACGUAAUGAUUAAUAGGGAUAGUUGGGGGCAUUAGUAUUCAAUUGUCAGAGGUGAAAUUCUUGGAUUUAUUGAAGACUAACUACUGCGAAAGCAUUUGCCAAGGAUGUUUUCAUUAAUCAAGAACGAAAGUUAGGGGAUCGAAGACGAUCAGAUACCGUCGUAGUCUUAACCAUAAACUAUGCCGACUAGGGAUCGGAUGAUGUUAAUUUUUUAAUGACUCA